GGGGGGAGGAUUGGAAGGUUCAAAGAGCAGCUGCCAGGUCAAGGGCACCCCGUAAGAGAAGAAGUCGGCUGUAGUUAGCAUCCCCAGCCUUCCCCUGCCCACCCGCCACACACCCAUGUUCUGGCAACCUGGGGAACUGCCAGGUGGCUGGGAGCCCUCCGCACAGCAGCCCUCAGGGCCAGCGAGUGUGUCCUUGGUGGUGUUACCAGGAACUGUCCUUUCAAAGGAGGGAGUUGCUAUCCUGCUGGGCUUGGAGCAGAAGUGUGGGGAAGAGGGAAGGAGUGUAAUUUACCUGCCUAUGAGUGAUGGAGGCAUUAGAGGACCUGGUCCCUUCCAGGCCCCAGACUCAUCUUUCACUUUUUCUGUGAAAAGGAGGAUGCUGCUUCUUCAUUGGAUGAGCUUUAAGACUUCAACAGGCCUGCAGGCCCAGCCUGCCUCCUACUCUGGGACCAGUCCUGACUCACUGGAGGGGUUUAGGGGCUCACUAAUGGCUGACGUCAGUGGAUACAUCACAUGCCAGGUAAUUCUCUUUACAUUUUGUCUAUUAUCUCUCUCCAUCCUCUUUCCAGGGUAAGCACUGCAAUGAUUAUACUGAAGCAGAGAAGGCCUCUGUCAAGAUCACACGGGUAGCAAGUGGUAGAGCCAAGAUUCACCUCAGGAAGUCCUAUCCCAGAACCCUGUGGAAACCUGUCUGCUGAAGAACUUCCCUCCCUGACCCAUGCCAGCCUCCUGGGUCACCCCUGCCCUCUUCUACUCUGAGCAUCCAGGUGUGAGAAACUACUUUCCACUCUUGCCUCUGGGUCUUUGCACAUGCUGUUCCUUCUUCCCUAGAGUACCUUCCUUCCUUUACUUGAACAACUUUAACUUAUUGUUUAGAGUACAUACCCCCUGGGAAAGCACUUUCUGAGUCUGUGUCUGAACUGGUGUCCUCACUCUGAGCUCCUGAAGUGCUUCCUGGCUCUGUACUGGAAUUGCCUUUUGGCACUGGUCUGUUGCUGUUAGCGUGAACACUGUGUACAUUUCACUCCAUAUUGCUCUUGCUCACUAUUGUGCCCUGAGUGGUUAGCACAGUGUCCACAUUCAUGCUGGGUGGAGAAUAAGUUCCUGAACGACUGCUCCGUACCAUGUGGCUGAGUGUACCUGCCUUUAUGGGGUUACGUGUCAUGAGGCCACUGAGGCAGGCUUCCAGGGUGAGACCGAGAAGAUGGUGCCAGUGAGAGAGCAGAAGGGAGGGGGCCCACCCUUUGCUAAGCCCUUGAAGUGUAUUGCACAUGAUCACCUCAGGGGCCAGUGACCAGGAGACUAGCUGGGACUACCCAGCAGCUGACAGCACCCAGUGAUGGUCCCCCCUGAUUGAGAAGGCUCCCUGCCUCUGCAGGAUGGGGAGGGAAGCACAUUCCAAAGGCAACUUGACAGAAAAGGGAGAAAGGGCUCUCCAGCUUCCUUUGCAGCUAAUGCACUGGUUUUUGCUGGCAUGCUGUAUUUUUUAAUUUAGCUCGGUGCUGGAAGAGCUUGCCCAGUUGAAUAAGCAGGGGAAAACUCAUGGCCUGAGUCAAUCACAGACCACAUCAAACAAAGCAAGACUUUCAACCCAGGGGAGAUUUUUGCCUUUCCUGGCAGGGACAGCAGCCAUGAGAAUUACAAAGGAUUUUGGUCAAGGGAAUGCAAUGAACAUUCUGUUCUGGAAGUCCUGGGGCCCUGAAUAGCUUGGAGGAGAGACAACAAAUGCAUUGCUCAAGGUCACAACCAUGUUUCUCUCUGGCUUAGUGUCAAGAGGGCCCUAGGAAGCUUUAUAGGUCAGUGCAGGUUAUUGGAAGGACAGUGUUCCCACAAGCAUCCUGACCCCCAGUCCAGAGCUCUUACUACCCCCCCUCCCCCAGUUAACAGUACCCUCCACCACUGAGGUGCCUUCAGAAUGUCAUCUUUCACCUGGGACUGGAGAGGUGCUCUGUAUCACCCAUACAAUCUCUCCAGACUCAAGGUCAAGCUCUGCCUCUCAGCAAGGGAGCAUCAUGGGCCUUUGAUGUAAAGGCCAUCCAUAUGGUAUUUUGAGUUUACUGAGUAGCAGCUGAGAUCCACUUGCAAAAUUAUUUCAAGAACCUAAUUGGAUGAGCCUCAUACCCCAUUUUCAUAAAAUCUUUUCAUAAACAAUUAACUGAUGAUGCAAAAUGAAAAUGUUGCCUGUUGGCUGUUGCCCACAUUACAAGUUACCUCUACUGCUUGAAUGAAGGUCACAAUGUCGCUAUUAACAUUUGGGACUUGGAUCUCCUAAGUUUGCUCUUUGAAUAUUUGAGUAAAUAAUCUUCAUUUUUUAAAAAUAUUUUUUAUUGAGGUAUAAUUUAUACAGAGUGAAACACUCAAACCUAGCCUAUAGUGUUUGAUGAGUUUUGACAAAUAUAUACACAGUGGAACCACCACACCAAUCAAAGACAUAAAACAUUUCUAUUACCUAGAAAUCUCCCUCUUGCCCUUUUCAAUCAAUCUCAGCUGUUCUGACUUCUAUCACUGUAGAUUGGUUUUGUCUCUAUAGUGUCUGUUAUGGAUUGAAUAUGUGUCCCUGUAAAAUUUGUAAGUUGAAAUCUUAACCCCAGGGUGGUUAUACUAGGAGACAGGGCCUUUGAGAAGGCACUGGGGGGUGAAAGUGGAGCCCUUAUGAAUGAGAUUGGUGCCCUUAUAAAAUAAAAGGGAUCCCAGAGAGAUCCUGCCCCUCUCCCACCAUGUGAGGACACAGCAAGAAGACGACUCUCUAUGAACCAAGGAGCACAUUCCAACCAGACAUGGAACCUGCCAGUGCCUUGAUCUUGGACUUCCCACCCUCCAGAAUGAUUCUGUCUUACCCCAGGAAAAAUGAACAGGCCUUCCUGGGAUUUGAGGAUCAGCCUGUCUGGGCUUUUUCUCUCUGCUAGAUGUAUCAUCAAGCCACAUUGUACAAGAAAGCCACCUGAGAAAGCUUUGUGUUCAGGAGGUUAGACCAGAGGAAGGGGUCUGACUCUGAGCGGACCCCUAGGAACUGGAGCAAAGGGGUCUGACCGCAGCUGUUCCCUCAUGGAGGAGCCCUAAAGCCCUGGGGUGCCCUGCUUCUCUUGACAAGACCUCAGAGGAAGAGGCUGCAGGAUAGCUGGUGGGGCCAGGAACGAGGAAUCAUGGCCAAGGAAACGUACGUGAGAGGCUGGACAAGCAUAGUCCCCACCAGGAAAGUGGGCCCAUCGGAGGGGAAAGCUCAAGCAGGAGACUGCAUUUGUUGAAUAGCAGCAUUAAGCAGGUUCCUGGGAGGGCCCAGGAGACCAAGCUGCAGAUGCUGCCUUUCCCAGCAAUGUCACUGUCCUCUGUCCUCAGUGAUGAAUCAUUGUUCAGCAUCCUCGAAAUCCUUCCUGUACUAGAGUUUUAUACUCACACCCUUGGCCCCGUGACUUUGCAGUGCUAUCCAUUAGUGUGUGUGGAGGGGGCCUCCCACCCCCAGCACGGUGGCAUGGCCAUGCAACUGGCUUCUGUCAAGGGUGUGCAGACAAGAAUGACUCCAGGGGUCUCCAGAGGCAUCAAGUUUCUCAGUUCAACUUCUGGUGCUCCUGCCAUUUGCUGGGCAAAGAACAUGCCCUAGGAGAGUUGGUCCAAGGCAAAUGUGGAGACGAGUGGAUAUUAGCCGACUUGAAGCCUUAAUCCUAGCCUGGCAGACCUGUAGCCUCAAGCAGAGUUUUCCCAGACAACCUACAGGCCUGAAAGCAAGAAAAAGAAAUGCUCUUCGUUGUAUGCCAUCAAGGUUUGGUAUGGUUUGUGAUGCAGAAUUAUUAAAGCAUUUGCUGACUGAUGUGUGCACUAAUACCAUUCUCCCCUCUUUUGUAAUAAUGUAAAUCCCAACGUUUAACAGGCUGUUUGGAAUCAGGCUAAGUUCCCCAGCCUUCCUUGCAGCUAAGUGUGGCCGUGUUACUGAGGUCUGGUUAAUGAAAUGUUAGUAGAAGUGUUGUAUGGUAGUUUCCAAGACCCUCCCUGAAGGCCUGUGGCAUGAAGUAUUCAUCCUUUCCUGCAUCCUGCUAUCUGGAACAAGGAUAUGAUGGCUGGAGCUCUAGCUGACAUUUUGGCUCCUGAGAUAGGCCAUAUCCCUAAGAAGAUGGGGUGGUAAAUCACCUGGACUAUUCUGUGAGAGAGAAAUACAUAAAUUGUGUUCUUUCUUUAAGCUUCUUUAUCUCUAAAAUUCCCCUACUGAGCUUACUCCUGACAGUUCUCAAGACAGUUUUUACUAAAUCUGAUAGCUAAUUAUGACGUUACUUUGAAGCAGAGUGUCCUGUAGCCACGAUCAACUGUUAAUACUAAUCAACUGUUUGAUACUAACCAAAAUGGAUACACACUAAACAGUUAAAAAUACAUCUCCUGGGAAGGAGGAUGGGGCGGGGGUAGGGAGGGUGACUGAUAACGGAUAUGGGUUCUUUUGGAGGGAAUACAAAUGUUCUAAUAUGAGAUAGUGGCGAUGGCCACACAACUCUGUGAAUAUGUGAAAACCAACAGAAGUGUAUACUUUUACAAGGUUCAGUCUCAUGGUAUGUAGUUAUGUCUCAAUAAACAUAAAAAUCAGUCACCUGUUCAUCGUUUAUACCAUUGUGAGGCAGGUACUAUCAUUUCCCCCUAUAUCACAGCUCAUGAAGCCGUGGCCCAGAGAGCUUACGUGUCCCCUAAUCUCAUUAACCUCAUCAAUGUCAGAGAUGAGACCAGAGCUCGGGUCUCCUGACCCAGCACCCUUACUGACUCCCCCUGACCCCCGCCUGAGGGCCACAGGGGAACCGCACUCAGGGACUAUGUAGGCAACACUGAGUUGUAAAUGUAAUUUGUUUUUAUUUUUCUUUUUAGCACCUUCUGUGCUGGCACCUCUUCCCUCCAGUGACCCUCCAUUAUAUGCCAACUACUCUGCUUGUUCAGGGUCCCAGCCCACUCUAUUUUACAAACUUUCUUGCCAAGAAUUAUAAAAAAAUUCAACUGAUAUGAACCAGCAUAGAUGACAGAUGCAAGUAGUGUUUCCCACAUUGCCAGAUACCCCAGCUCUCAAAUGCCCCUGCCUCCUUCUACCCCCACCUAGGGUGGCCAGAGGGCCAGGGCAUCUUCCUUUGGGGCUCCAUCAUCUGGGGGACUUUUGAUUGACAGAACACACAUUUAUGGGAGGUCUUCUGUGAACCAGCAGUUGUGAUGAAUGCUUAAAUAUAUUCUUAUUUAAACUUCCCUGCAAUCCAUUGACCAUGUGCAUUGAUGAGCCCAUUUUACAGAGAAGGAAACUGAAGCUCAGAGAGGAUCGGUAACCCUCCCAAGUUCUCACAGGUAGGGAGUGACCAAGUCAGGGUUCGAACCCAAGUCUUCUAAUGCUAAGUCCAAUAUUCUUUUCCUUAUCAUGUGCAGGCAUUGUUCCCUGGUAUCCCCCUGGGGUCUACCACUGGCCUAGAACACAAGAGGAGUUCAAGGAGGGAAUAAAAAAGAAAUAAAGGAAAUCCAACCUUGGCCAGCUUGCCCAAAGGCCUUUUUCCCUUAAGCAAGAUCUAUGAAUCACCCUCGGCCCCAGCACAUGUGUGUGUGACCGCAAGACUCAAUCAGGGGUUUUCCUUUUUCAAGAGGAGGAAGUUCACUGCCCUGUUUUGGCAUAGCUGGGGCACACAGUAAGCAGGAGGAGGACGGGAGAAGAAAAGCAGGAGAUACGUUGUUUCCUCUUCUUAGAAGCCGCAAGAGCUGUCUUAACAUCCGCUGAGGAGAUGGAAGGCGAGCAUCCUGAGAGGGGAACCCCUUGGGAGAGUGGGAAGGAGAUAGAGUGUCGAGGAAACUCACAAACUACAGAAGGAAAGGGAAUGGUGGACCAGUUGCAGACUGUAGAGAUGUAGAAACUGUCUUGCAAAACUAACAUCAUAUAAAGUCAUUUACAAUACCUUUCCCCUUAGGAAAUAGGUUGUAAGUAGCUGG